rnacentral:rRNA from 1 species
UACGAAGGGUGCAAGCGUUCCUCGGAAUUACUGGGCGUAAAGCGUGCGUAGGCGGUUUGUUAAGUCCGUUGUGAAAGCCCUGGGCUCAACCUGGGAAUUGCAGUGGAUACUGGCGAGCUAGAGUGCGGUAGAGGAUGGUGGAAUUCCCGGUGUAGCGGUGAAAUGCGUAGAGAUCGGGAGGAACACCCGUGGCGAAGGCGGCCAUCUGGACCAGCACUGACGCUGAGGCACGAAAGCGUGGGGAGCAAACAGG